GGUGACGUCUGGAGCCGAGCGGCUGCGAGCGGCAGUGGUGUUGUAGCUUUGGUGGAGAGAGAAGCAGGAGCAUGACAGAGAUUCAAAGGGAGAAGGUGAAGCAUUGCAGCGUGGGAUGGAGGGAUGAAUGCUUUUCUUCCAUUAGAAAGUGAAUGUUGCAGGGAACAAGCUGGAUUAAAAGCAUCCACACACCUGAACCUCAUCUCUUCUGAAGGACUUUUAGGUCAGAUGAAGGUCUGCAGAUCCAGAUGUUCACACUUUAAAUCCAAUCAUUUCUAGUAAAUACUUGGAAACAUUUCCACACUCGCACGCCAAACUCAUGCCUAAUUAUUGGAUUUGCAUAUUCCUGCUCUUAAAGCCACGCUAAACAGCUGGAACAGGUCGAAAUGUAAUGGGGAAAAAUAGAGUAAUGUUUUUGGUUGGGGUUCUAAAUGGAACCUAAGUGGAUUCCACUAGAAGAACAAUCCAUGAUGUUCCUUCAACUGUGUUUUCUUUAAAAUAAAACUGAACUUGAUUA